UGGGAGUUGUAGUUCUGACGCGCGCAGCAGCGGUUCACACCCAGCGUUCAGGUGUUCGAAUCUGAGAAAGCGCGACCCCGAGCGGCUGUCACGUGGGCGGGGCUGCAAUUGCAGGUGCGCCCCUGUAAACCCAGCGGCGGGGACCAGGAUCUCAGCCGUUUAACCCCAUUGACCUCUUCCCCACCUCCGCUUGGGACUACAUUGGUUUUCUGUGACUGGAAGUGAACAGUUGUGGAAGAGGAGAGAAUGGGCAGAGUGGGUGGGCUCUCUGAUUGACGUCUCUCACAACCAAUCCAAAUAUUUCUGGAGCAACUUUCCUGAAGCUUGGGAAACUGACCAGUGAAAUGGAGGCGACUUUGAGCAACAGAUCAGUCCCUACAGGAAGUGAACCAGUUGUGGAAGAGGAAGAGGAGAGAAUGGGCAGAGUGGGUGAGCUCUGAUUGUCGUCUCUCAAUUUCUCUGCUCCUCUCACCCAUUCUAACCUGUCUCUCUCCGAACUUACUGCACUCCAUUCU